CCUACGGGGAGCAGCAGUGAGGAAUAUUGGUCAAUGGACGAGAGUCUGAACCAGCCAAGUAGCGUGAAGGAUGACUGCCCUAUGGGUUGUAAACUUCUUUUAUAUGGGAAUAAAACGUUCCACGUGUGGGAUUUUGUAUGUACCAUAUGAAUACGGAUCGGCUAACUCCGUGCCAGCAGCCGCGGUAAUACGGAGGAUCCGAGCGUUAUCCGGAUUUAUUGGGUUUAAAGGGAGCGUAGGUGGAUUGUUAAGUCAGUUGUGAAAGUUUGCGGCUCAAACGUAAAAUUGCAGUUGAAACUGGCAGUCUUGAGUACAGUAGAGGUUGGCGGAAUUCGUGGUGUAGCGGUGAAAUGCUUAGAUAUCACGAAGAACUCCGAUUGCGAAGGCAGUUCACUGGACUGCAACUGACACUGAGGCUCGAAAGUGUGGGUAUCAAACAGGAUUAGAUACCCGAGUAGUC
rnacentral:rRNA from 1 species